rnacentral:rRNA from 1 species
UACGUAGGUGGCAAGCGUUGUCCGGAUUUACUGGGCGUAAAGAGCGCGCAGGCGGUCGUACAAGUCGCGUGUGAAAGCCCCCCGGCUCAACUGGGGAGGGUCACGCGAUACUGUUCGACUCGAAGGCAGGAGAGGGAAGCAGAAUUCCCGGUGUAGUGGUGAAAUGCGUAGAGAUCCGGAGGAACACCAGCGGCGAAGGCGGCAUCCUGGACUGGUACUGACGCUCAUGAGCGAAAGCGUGGGGAGCGAUCCGG